rnacentral:rRNA from 1 species
CCCAAUAUAUUCGCUAUUAGAUGAGCCUAUGUUAGAUUAGCUAGUUGGUGAGGUAAUGGCUUACCAAGGCUAUGAUCUAUAGCUGGUCUGAGAGGACGAUCAGCCACACUGGAACUGAGAUACGGUCCAGACUCCUACGGGAGGCAGCAGUGGGGAAUAUUGGACAAUGGGCGAAAGCCUGAUCCAGCUAUGCCGCGUGAGUGAAGAAGGCCUUCGGGUUGUAAAGCUCUUUCAAUAGGGAAGAUAUUGGCGGUACCA